GUCGAACGAGAAAGUGGAGCAAUCCAUGAGUAAAGUGGCGUACGGGUGAGUAACACGUGGGUAAUCUACCUCUUAGUGGGGAAUAACGCUGGGAAACCGGCGCUAAUACCGCAUAAGCCUGAGAAGGGAAAGCUUUUUUACGCAAGUAAGGAGGCGCUGAGAGAGGAGCCCGCGGCCGAUUAGCUAGUUGGUGGGGUAAGAGCCUACCAAGGCAUAGAUCGGUAGCCGGCCUGAGAGGGCACACGGCCACACUGGCACUGAAACACGGGCCAGACUCCUACGGGAGGCAGCAGUGGGGAAUCUUGCACAAUGGGGGCAACCCUGAUGCAGCGACGCCGCGUGAACGAUGAAGCCCUUCGGGGUGUAAAGUUCUUUCGGCAGGGAAGAUAGUGACGGUACCUGCAGAAGCAGCUGCGGCUAACUACGUGCCAGCAGCCGCGGUAAUACGUAGGCAGCGAGCGUUGUUCGGAGUUACUGGGCGUAAAGGGUGUGUAGGCGGUGCUUUAAGUUUGGUGUGAAAUCUCCCGGCUCAACUGGGAGGGUGCGCCGAAUACUGAAGUGCUAGAGUAUGGGAGAGGAAAGUGGAAUUCCUGGUGUAGCGGUGAAAUGCGUAGAUAUCAGGAGGAACACCUGUGGUGUAGACGGCUUUCUGGACCAUAACUGACGCUGAGACACGAAAGCGUGGGUAGCAAACAGGAUUAGAUACCCUGGUAGUCCACGCCCUAAACGAUGCAUAUUUGGUGUGAGC
rnacentral:rRNA from 1 species